UUUCGCCUUUGGAUAACACCCAGCGUCUCUUCUGCUAACAUUUCUUUUUCAGCAAUAGUGAAGUGUUAUUUUGUGUCGCCAGCAUGCUUAAAAUACUCGAUAAACUCUAUAAAAAAUGUUGAAGUAUAAAAAUAAAAACUAAACAAUGCUGAAUGGGAUAUUUCCGUCUGGUUGCUGACUAGGGUGUGGCACUCGCCACAUAAGCAACUGUAACUGCCGAAUCCCGUCAGACUGUGUGGUUUCUUUGCUAAAAAGCAAUAUUGCGUACAAAAUAACUUGAACGGAAUACCCACUAUGUGUUGUAUCGAAAAGAAAUUGUGAGUGUACAUACGUAGAAAAUUACACAAGAUGGAUUAUUUUGCAUUAAAAAAUGGAUAUGAACGUUCGAACUUUUAUGUGCAAUGUGUCAGGAAUACGAGGAAUAACUAAUAUAAAAAAAAACAGCAAAUAACGAGUGACUAUUGAACAAAAGCAUGGUAAUAUCAAAUAACCUUUCGGACUGCUAGAUAUUGAGAUAAAAUGUAAUUUUAAAGUAGUUACCUGAAAGGGUAUGUCUCGGAUCGAAUUUAAAGAGGAAGUAGACAACAAAAACACUGAGGAAGCUGUUCCUUGGAACAAUCUACGACGAAGAACCUUAACGAAAGUUUUUUUCAAUGUCACCUUACGCAUACAGGAAGAUGUUUGAUGCAGAUUAAUGUAAUUUAGACUAGUCACUUAAUUAAAUAAAUGUAAACGUUCAUAUAAUUGCUUUUUACAAGUAUGUCAAUGAUUGGCGGAGGAGGUACUACCCAUAAAUUCUGACCCAGUGGUGUCAGUCUUGGGAUCUUUAAAAUUCAAUAAAAUAAAUAAAAAAAUACUUCCACUCCAAAAAAGAACCAUUUGGGAGGUAUUCUCCUUAUUUUACAGUUAGCUUAAAAUAUUUUCAACUAAUAAUAUUGUGGAAAACAACUACUCUGCGUACUAAAACUCCGUCCAACCUUGAAUUACACCCUCAAUAUCAGUAGAAAUGAGAAUGAAGAUAUAACAAAUUUUGUAGAUUAUAACACUAACGCUCAAAUUUUACAAAUAAUUCAGUAAAUUGAAAAUAAUUCUAAAACUGCUUCGUUCACAAAAGUCUAGUUUUUUUUAUUACAAAUUCUCUUUUAGAGUUCAAAAAAUCUAUUGGUGUGAAAUUUUUUUAUAUUUUUAGAAACUGUCUCUCUUUUUUCCAGAACAGCAAACGUUUCAUAUUUUCAAGCAAAGGGCGUGUGAUUUUUUUAUAAUUUUUUUUUGUCAAUUGAAUCGAUAAAAUAAGUAUAUAAUAUUAAGUAUCCUAUUUUUCUUACAUUUUAUAUGACUAUACAGUAAAUUUACAUACUACUAAAUAUGUACUUUUAUGUAUCAAUAAAAAUAUGUAAAAUCCAA